rnacentral:lncRNA from 1 species
AAAAGUUGAAGAUUCGUUCCUUGGAUGCCCUGAAAUGUGAAGGCUUACAGUUUUCAUNGUGAUGGCCUGUUGGAAGUCUCCCUCCUAGCUGAAAGCAGCCAUAUCUCCUCCGGUGAGCACAGAGAAAAGACUGGGCAGGUGAUUCAUCACCAUUUGCUUUUGAACUCCUUGGGCGGCAGCAAACCAUCCUCUGGUCCAAUGCCUCAGGCACAAUGUCCAUAUUCUGCCUCAGAUCCAAGUCCAGCUCGCCACACCGUAUGAGCAUCAAAGGCGCAUGGCAGUCUGAGGUUUGGUUCUUCCACAGCUUUCUCAAUUUUCUGAUCUAAAGCAUGUGGAGACGUGGUCUCAAGUUGUACAAUUUUAUUGAUCUUAUUAAUUGUGCCUGCACUCAAUCUGGGCACACAUCUGCAAACACACUUCAAAAUGGAGCAGAUUUCCUUCAGCUUUAUGCUACUGAAAAAAAAUCAACAGACCGAGCUGUGCCGUGAUCUUUAGCUGUGCCAUCAGGUGUACUUGUGACCAACUGGAAUAAGGGAAGAUGGAUUGCAUGGGUGCAAGAUUCCCGAGAAGGGAAAAACAGGAACUCAGUAAGAUAUUUGGAGAGGACUGUUUCACCUGGCAUAGUAAGUUCUCUUAGAGGCAGAGAACUUCCACAGGNAGGGCAAGAUUAACCCACAGCACCCUCUGCAGUCAGACGUGACACCUAAACGAAAGCAUUUCCUCCUUUCGUUCUGAAUGUGUUUGACUAAAGGCACCAAGGAGUGGGAAAGCAUUGGCGUGAAGCAACAAAAUAGCCACACACCCACAUUGCUGUCAAGAAG